UACAGAGGUCUCAAGCGUUGUUCGGAUUCAUUGGGCGUAAAGGGUGUGUAGGUGGCGCGCUAAGUCGGGUGUGAAAUUUCGGAGCUUAACUCCGAAACUGCAUUUGAUACUGGCGUGCUUGAGGACUGGAGAGGAGACUGGAAUUCAUGGUGUAGCAGUGAAGUGCGUAGAGAUCAUGAGGAAGACCAGUGGCGAAGGCGGGUCUCUGGACCGGUAUUGACGCUGAGGAGCGAAAGCCAGGGGAGCAAACGGG
rnacentral:rRNA from 1 species